UACAGAGGUCUCAAGCGUUGUUCGGAUUCAUUGGGCGUAAAGGGUGCGUAGGCGGCGCGGUAAGUCGGGUGUGAAAUCUCGGAGCUUAACUCCGAAACUGCAUUCGAUACUGCCGAGCUUGAGGACUGGAGAGGAGACUGGAAUUUACGGUGUAGCGGUGAAAUGCGUAGAUAUCGUAAGGAAGACCAGUGGCGAAGGCGGGUCUCUGGACAGUUCCUGACGCUGAGGCACGAAGGCCAGGGGAGCAAACGGG
rnacentral:rRNA from 1 species